GAGAAGGAAGGAGGGAAUACUCGUCUGCAACAAUACAUGCAAAAUUUCAGAGAUUGUGUGGACGAUUGUGAGCUGAAAGAAGUUAUGUCGAUUGGAGAUCCGUUUACCUGGAGCCGAGGGGUUAUAAAAGAGCGUCUGGAUAGAGCGUUUUGCAAUGAAACCUGGGAAGGAAAGUUCCCUUAUGCGGCUGUUAUCCAUGAACAUCAUGUUCACUCGGAUCAUAGGCCAAUCCUACUGGACACACAUUAUUUUGAGUCGGUUAUGAGGCAGCAGCCAAAAGUGGAGAAAAGGUUUGAAGGACGAUGGCUUAAAGAAGAAACGGUUAAUCAGAUUGUCAAUACUGCAUGGGAACGAGCUAAGCUGGCUGGAAUAGGGCCCUCUCUUGCUGAUCGAACAAAGGCAGUGAAAGACGACUUGCAUCAAUGGGACCGUGACAUUUUGAAAGGACCAAUGAAAAGGAUCAGUAAACUGAAAAAGGAGAUGGAGAAAUUAAGAAGAGGGCCGUUGUCAGCUGAGGUCCGUGGAAAAUUGAAAGAAUUGCAAAUCCACAUUGAAAAUAUCUUGGACCAGGAGGAACUCAUUUGGCUGCAGCGUGGUCGUACCAACUGGCUGCCCCAUGGUGACCGAAACACCUCAUUUUUUCAUAACACGGCCACGGCGCAUAAGAAACAAAACUGCAUCAAACGGUUACUUGAUGACACUGGAGUGGGGAAGGAGGAUAUUGAUGACCUGAAUAGAAUUAUCUCCGGAUACUUUAAGGACUUGUUUGCAUCUAGUGUCCAAGCACCAGCACAGAGUUACGGGGGCGAUGAAUGA
rnacentral:rRNA from 1 species